GCAGCCGCGGUAAUACGUAGGUGGCAAGCGUUGUCCGGAAUUACUGGGUGUAAAGGGAGCGCAGGCGGGACUGCAAGUUGGAUGUGAAAUGUCGCGGCUUAACCGCGGAGCUGCAUCCAAAACUGUAGUUCUUGAGUGGAGUAGAGGUAGGCGGAAUUCCGAGUGUAGCGGUGAAAUGCGUAGAUAUUCGGAGGAACACCAGUGGCGAAGGCGGCCUACUGGGCUCUUACUGACGCUGAGGCUCGAAAGUGUGGGGAGCAAACAGGAUUAGAUACCCC
rnacentral:rRNA from 1 species